UCGUCGCUGAGGCAGGACCGACUUC
rnacentral:miRNA from 1 species